UUACACAUGCAAGUCGAACGGUAACGUGGGCCGUAGAAAGGUCCACCCCGACGACGAGUGGCGAACGGGUGAGUAAUACAUCGGAACGUGUCCGCUCGUGGGGGACAACCAGCCGAAAGGUUGGCUAAUACCGCAUGAGUUCUACGGAAGAAAGAGGGGGACCCGCAAGGGCCUCUCGCGAGCGGAGCGGCCGAUGACUGAUUAGCCUGUUGGUGAGGUAACGGCUCACCAAAGCAACGAUCAGUAGCUGGUCUGAGAGGACGACCAGCCACACUGGGACUGAGACACGGCCCAGACUCCUACGGGAGGCAGCAGUGGGGAAUUUUGGACAAUGGGCGCAAGCCUGAUCCAGCUAUUCCGCGUGUGGGAUGAAGGCCCUCGGGUUGUAAACCACUUUUGUAGAGAACGAAAAGACAUCUUCGAAUAAAGGAUGUUGCUGACGGUACUCUAAGAAUAAGCACCGGCUAACUACGUGCCAGCAGCCGCGGUAAUACGUAGGGUGCGAGCGUUAAUCGGAAUUACUGGGCGUAAAGGGUGCGCAGGCGGUUGAGUAAGACAGAUGUGAAAUCCCCGAGCUUAACUCGGGAAUGGCAUAUGUGACUGCUCGACUAGAGUGUGUCAGAGGGAGGUGGAAUUCCACGUGUAGCAGUGAAAUGCGUAGAUAUGUGGAAGAACACCGAUGGCGAAGGCAGCCUCCUGGGACAUAACUGACGCUCAGGCACGAAAGCGUGGGGAGCAAACAGGAUUAGAUACCCUGGUAGUCCACGCCCUAAACGAUGUUAACUAGUUGUUGGGAUGUAAC
rnacentral:rRNA from 1 species